rnacentral:lncRNA from 1 species
AACACCCAGCUUUUCAGAGUUAGGGCAAAAUGUGUAGGUUUUUAAGGAAGGAUAACUUGACACAAGAUACUUAGAAUCCUAACCCCCGAUCAGGAACCACAGGAGCAGCUGAAGCAGUUACCUCAAUGGUCCAUCUCUUCUUUAUUUCCUUGUGUGGAUUUAUACCAAUUCUUCAGGAAAUUAUAAAAGAAAAUAGAUUUCCAAUUUCCACAUUCUAGAAUGAGAAAGCUCAGUAGAUUCCCAUGAUUUCCAAGUCAACAUCCUCUGCGUGGUCUCACGCUAUUGUGGCAAUCUUCCCCAGCCUCUUCCACAGAACUUCCUGUUGUGACCUCUUAAAAGUACAUAUUUAGUUUUCAUGAGUUUCCAUGUCUUGUCUCCUUAUCUUAGGAAUGGGGCCAAGAGUGAUUUGUCAUUGCUGCAGCUGGGUCUGAGUAGAAUCCACCGAUCUAGAGAGUGGCCAUGAGCUGACCUGACUCUUGGCUCACCUCACAUUCCUCACACUUAAGAUAUCAAUAGUGCAAAAUCUCCAUAUCUUUUCCUACUCAAUGGUUCCCCUUAAUUUGCUGGUUUGGUGCUUAUCUCUCAUACGAUUGCUACUAAAUUCAGGAUCUAACAGCUUUACAAAAUUGGCCAAAAAUAGAACACAUAAAAGUAGAAGUGUUGACCAGUCUUAAUUAGGACAUUAAAUCCAAUAUGGCAGACUGUGUCCAGCUCUGACACUAUUAAGGUAUCACAACAGUAUAACUUAGUUUCAAGGAAAUGAACAGAAAACAGUGACUACAAUAGAAUGAAAUGUAGAAACAGACAGACAAUGUCUGUGUACAAUAAAUUGAGUCUUUUGUCUUUUUUUGGUGGUAUAUUUUUAGUUUCCUGGAUAAACUGUUUAAAAUUUAAAUGCAUCAUAGCAGGAAAGUAAGGUAAACUGCCUCUUUGCUUUUCUGAUGUUGCCCCUCUCUUCCCCACCCCAAUAUUCUGGUUGGUUGGCAGUCCUCUCUUCUGUCCAUUUUUCCUUAUUUAUGGUAGACUGUCUACUUUCUGAUACCAUUUUGUGUUUUUGGAAGGUCCUAUGAGGUGUGUCUAAAAUGACUAUCUACUUGUGCUUCAAAGACUUUUUGCUUAGAAGUUAGUUUUACCCGUCCAGUAACCAGAUGGGAAAGAAUAUGAUCAGAAGUUUUCAUUGGUUCUGUGUGCUCUGUGUUCUUGCUCCUCCUUCCAGUGUGGCAUGUUAGGAUCAUGAUGUUCCCUGGAACAUACUGUCAACUCAUUUAUUGUGGUCCAUUCUUUGAUUUUCCUUUAAGUCUUCAACUCUUUUACCAUUGCAAGGGCUCCCUUAAACCUACUAAAGACUCGUAAGGUUUCUAAAAGACAUGGACAGUUGCUACACCCUUCUCCAUAGACAUGGUGGCAAAAGAUAUAGCAAAUAUGAAAGCAGCAAGGAAUGACUGCUCUUUCUGCAGCCCUGUUGUCUGAGACUUCAGAUUUCCAAGGGGGAAAACACAGAGGAAAUACCUUGUGACCAUCCCUUUCUGUGUAAUUCUAGAUGUCUGGUAAAAUUUGGUAUAAGAUUUUAUAUAAAAUCUCUCCUAAUUUUAAGAAUGAGAUGAAGUUCAUUUAGGCAAUGUUGCUUUCCUUAGCAGCUGUUUAGG